rnacentral:rRNA from 1 species
CCUACGGGUGGCAGCAGUGAGGAAUAUUGGUCAAUGGUCGGGAGACUGAACCAGCCAAGCCGCGUGAGGGAGGAAGGUACAGAGUAUCGUAAACCUCUUUUGUCAGGGAACAAAGGCGGGGACGUGUCCCCGGAUGAGUUUACCUGAAGAAAAAGCAUCGGCUAACUCCGUGCCAGCACCCGCGGUAAUUCGGGGGAUGCGAGCGUUAUCCGGAUUUAUUGGGUUUAACGGGCGCGCAGGCGGUCUGUUAUGUCAGCGGUAAAAGCCCGGGGCGCAACCCCGGCCCGCCGUUGAAACUGGCAGUCUCGAGUUGGAGAGAAGGAUGCGGAAGGCGCGGUGUAGCGGUGAAAUGCAUAGAUAUCGCGCAGAACUCCGAUUGCGAAGGCAGCAUGCCGGCUCCACACUGACGCUGAGGCACGAAAGCGUGGGUAUCGAACAGGAUUAGAUACCCCAGUAGUC